rnacentral:rRNA from 1 species
GUGGGGAAUAUUGGACAAUGGGCGAAAGCCUGAUCCAGCCAUGCCGCGUGUGUGAAGAAGGUCUUCGGAUUGUAAAGCACUUUAAGUUGGGAGGAAGGGCAGUAAGUUAAUACCUUGCUGUUUUGACGUUACCGACAGAAUAAGCACCGGCUAACUUCGUGCCAGCAGCCGCGGUAAUACGAAGGGUGCAAGCGUUAAUCGGAAUUACUGGGCGUAAAGCGCGCGUAGGUGGUUUUGUAAGUUGGAGGUGAAAUCCCCGGGCUCAACCUGGGAACUGCCUCCAGAACUGCAUGACUAGAGUACGGUAGAGGGUAGUGGAAUUUCCUGUGUAGCGGUGAAAUGCGUAGAUAUAGGAAGGAACACCAGUGGCGAAGGCGACUACCUGGACUGAUACUGACACUGAGGUGCGAAAGCGUGGGGAGCAAACAGGAUUAGAUACCCCAGUAGUCC